GGGCUCGUAGCUCAGCGGUUAGAGCUAGCCGCUCAUAACGGCUUGGUCGCGGGUUCGAAUCCUGCCGGGCCUACCA
rnacentral:tRNA from 1 species